rnacentral:snRNA from 1 species
GUUACUUUCAGGCCUUUUGGCUGAAAUUGAAUAUAUUAUCUGUUCUUUUCAGUUUAAUAUCUGAUACAUCCUCAAUGAAAAGACUUUAUAUUAAAACAGAUUUUUGGUCUCAAUUCUAUUCUGUGGGAUGGGUACCAAGAACUGUUGCUGGCAGCCCCACAGCACAACCAAA